GGAUCGCAGGCUGCAACCCGCCUGCGUGAAGUCGGAAUCGCUAGUAAUCGCGGAUCAGCAUGCCGCGGUGAAUACGUUCCCGGGCCUUGUACACACCGCCCGUCACACCAUGAGAGUCGGGAACACCCGAAGUCCGUAGCCUAACAGCAAUGAGGGCGCGGCCGAAGGUGGGUUCGAUAAUUGGGGUGAAGUCGUAACAAGGUACC
rnacentral:rRNA from 1 species